GGCUGACUAAAUACUUUUUUGCCCCACUGUACUACUGUCAAACCAUUUAGCCUAAGCAAUGCUAGUCACUGCUAGACUGGUAGCUACCUUCAGCAGAUUAAACAUAUUUGACUAACGUUAAUGUAAGCUAGCUAACGUUUGCAAAUAAGAGUAUCUGAAAUCUUGUAGCCAGAAUUUUCUGAAAAACACUUGUUACUAAAAAUAGAAUUGACAACAUAGCUAACUCUCUGUUUGUGUGUUGUUAGCAAUGAUUAAUGUGUAUCAAUGGUUGGUUAGCUUGUUGGUUCUCAGCUGGCUAGACAUCUUGCUGCCAAUUUAGUGAUGCUAACUAGCUAACAGCAAGCUGACAAUAUUAAAAUGUCCAUGUUAGGUGUGCUAAGCUAGCCAGUCCAAUACAGAUCAAUGCAAUUAGUGGUGUGGUUUAAUUGUGUAUUGGUAUGUAUUUUGUUUUAUAUGGUACAGAAUCCACCAGGAUGAUUUUCCAACCGCUGGCUCUCCACAAGGUGAAGUCCUGCUGAAAUACACAGGAGCAUCAGGGAGCGGACACACCUUGCAGUUAUAGAGCAUCACAAGACUGUGGGACAGAAACCACCUAGGGACACUGAAAGGAGACGUGCAGUACCAGCAAAUCCUCUGCAAGAGAUCCAAACAGUUGGUGUUUAAGAAGGUCUACGAGCUCUGCACUCACAACUUCUGGCAGAGUCUUAUCCAGCUGGCUGUAUGCCGCAGACAGGACAAAACCAUUCACCACAAGCACAAAGAGUCUCAGCUUCCCCAGCCCACCAUGCCAAACACCAUUGCCAGUGUACCGAUGCCGGAUAAAGGACAGUGUAGCUCAACAUAAGACAAUGUAGAACCACCAUAAAAUAAAUACAGAUAUUUUCUAUUAAUCUUAAAAAUGUGUCUGCCUUUAUGGAAUCACAGAAUAUUUGUAUUUAAGUUAUACAGGGCUUUAUAGCAUCAAACAGAUGUUAAAGCUAGUUUACAGUCCGUAUAUUGAC